UACAUGUGGGGCAAGCGUUGUUCGGAAUUACUGGGCAUAAAGGGUGCGUAGGCGGCUUGUUAAGUCAGGGGUGAAAGUUUUCGGCCCAACCGGAAAAUUGCCUUUGAUACUGGCGAGCUCGAGUGCGUGAGGGGUAACCGGAACGAGUCGUGUAGCGGUGAAAUGCGUAGAUAUGACUCGGGAAGGCCAACGGCGAAGGCAGGUUACUGGUACGCAACUGACGCUGAGGCACGAAAGCGUGGGGAGCAAACAGGA
rnacentral:rRNA from 1 species